rnacentral:misc_RNA from 1 species
AAGUCGUAACAAGGUUUCCGUAGGUGAACCUGCGGAAGGAUCAUUACCAAAUUCAUAUCAGGCGCUAGCCUUUUACUUGCGGAGCAGUAUUGUCACUUGGGCGGUCGUUGUAAUGGCGCCGCCCAACCCCAUGUUAAACUAAUAUCUCUAUCGUCAAAUUUAAAAUUAAUCUAUACAACUUGCAGCGAUGGAUCUCUUGGCUCUG